CCUACGGGGUGCUGCAGUGGGGGAUAUUGCACAAUGGGGGGAACCCUGAUGCAGCGACGCCGCGUGGGUGAAGAAGCGCCUCGGCGCGUAAAGCCCUGUCAGCAGGGAAGAAAAUGACGGUACCUGAAGAAGAAGCCCCGGCUAACUACGUGCCAGCACCCGCGGUAAUACGUAGGGGGCAAGCGUUAUCCGGAUUUACUGGGGGUAAAGGGGGCGCAGACGGCGAUGCAAGCCAGGAGUGAAAGCGCGGGGCCCAACCCCGGGACUGCUCUUGGAACUGCGUGGCUGGAGUGCGGGAGGGGCAGGCGGAAUGCCUGGUGUAGCGGUGAAAUGCGUAGAUAUCAGGAGGAACGCCGGUGGCGAAGGCGGCCUGCUGGACUGCAACUGACGUUGAGGCACGAAAGCGUGGGGAGCAAACAGGAUUAGAUACCCCAGUAGUC
rnacentral:rRNA from 1 species